GACGAACGCUGGCGGCGUGCCUAAUACAUGCAAGUAGAACGCUGAAGCUUGGUGCUUGCACCGAGCGGAUGAGUUGCGAACGGGUGAGUAACGCGUAGGUAACCUGCCUGGUAGCGGGGGAUAACUAUUGGAAACGAUAGCUAAUACCGCAUAAAAUGGAUUAUCGCAUGAUAAUUCAUUGAAAGGUGCAAAUGCAUCACUACCAGAUGGACCUGCGUUGUAUUAGCUAGUUGGUGGGGUAACGGCUCACCAAGGCGACGAUACAUAGCCGACCUGAGAGGGUGAUCGGCCACACUGGGACUGAGACACGGCCCAGACUCCUACGGGAGGCAGCAGUAGGGAAUCUUCGGCAAUGGACGGAAGUCUGACCGAGCAACGCCGCGUGAGUGAAGAAGGUUUUCGGAUCGUAAAGCUCUGUUGUAAGAGAAGAACGAGUGUGAGAGUGGAAAGUUCACACUGUGACGGUAUCUACCA
rnacentral:rRNA from 1 species